rnacentral:tRNA from 1 species
CACUGAAAAUGCUAAGAUGAGUCUUUAAGACUCCAUAAACA